CAAUAGCAUAUAUUAACGUUGUUGCAGUUGAAAAGCUCGUAGUUGAACUUUUGGUAGGAGCGACCUGGCCUUGGGCGCAUGCCCUUGUUUGCCGUGUGUCGUGUCUGGCCAUCCUUUUCUUCGUUUUUCGGAGGAAUCUUUUACUGUGAGUAAACUGGAGUGCUCAAAACAAGACGUUUGUUUGGUACAUUAAAGCAUGGAAUAAUAAGAUAGGACCUGGUUACUAUUUUGUUGGUUUGCAUAGCUAGGUAAUGAUUAACAGGGACAGUUGGGGGUAUUCGUAUUUAAUUGUCAGAGGUGAAAUUCUUGGAUUUAUGAAAGACGAACGACUGCGAAAGCAUUUACCAAGGAUGUUUNCAUUA
rnacentral:rRNA from 1 species